ncrna:Burkholderia ambifaria IOP40-10 Fluoride riboswitch
GUCACGCGUGGAGAUGGCAUUCCUCCUUUAACCGCCGAUUCGCUCGGCUGAUGAUGCCUACGUGCCC